rnacentral:rRNA from 1 species
UACAGAGGGUGCGAGCGUUAAUCGGAGUUACUGGGUGUAAAGGGCGCGUAGGCGGUUAUAUAAGUGAGAUGUGAAAAUCCCUGGGCUUAACCUAGGAACUGCAUCUCAUACUGUAUGACUGGAGUAUUGUAGAGGGUAGUGGAAUUUCCGGUGUAGCGGUGAAAUGCGUAGAGAUCGGAAGGAACACCAGUGGCGAAGGCGGCUACCUGGACAAAUACUGACGCUGAGGCGCGAGAGCGUGGGGAGCAAACAGG